CCUACGGGGGGCAGCAGUGGGGAAUAUUGGACAAUGGGCGAAAGCCUGAUCCAGCCAUGCCGCGUGUGUGAAGAAGGCCUUCGGGUUGUAAAGCACUUUCAGUGGGGAAGAAAGCCUUGGGGCUAAUACCCUCGAGGAAGGACAUCACCCACAGAAGAAGCACCGGCUAACUCCGUGCCAGCAGCCGCGGUAAUACGGAGGGUGCGAGCGUUAAUCGGAAUUACUGGGCGUAAAGCGCGCGUAGGCGGUCUGAUAAGCCAGUUGUGAAAGCCCCGGGCUCAACCUGGGAACGGCAUCCGGAACUGUCAGGCUAGAGUGCAGGAGAGGAAGGUAGAAUUCCCGGUGUAGCGGUGAAAUGCGUAGAGAUCGGGAGGAAUACCAGUGGCGAAGGCGGCCUUCUGGACUGACACUGACGCUGAGGUGCGAAAGCGUGGGUAGCAAACAGGAUUAGAUACCCGGGUAGUC
rnacentral:rRNA from 1 species